UUCUUCUAUAUAAAACUUGUCGUCCACUGAUCGUCAGCUUAUUCGUCCUGCCUCUUGACGUUGGUAGUAGGAGAAAUUGGAGUCAACCAAGGCGCGGCUACUAGUCCCUAUCUUUUCCUGACUUCUGCUGAUGACUUCGUUUGUGUAAAGUUACAUCUGUAAUUAGCUGGUGUACUACGCGAAGUAAUAUUAACGGAUUAAUUUUAUGUUUUGUUAAAGCCAAGAUAAAAAUAUGACCGGGGUGAUAGCCAUCCCUAUACCACACUAUCCUCUACCACUGGAAACAGUCGCUCCCUCCCAUCUUUCACACUGGCAGCCAUUUCUCGUUCCCCCGUCUUACAAUUAUCCUAUUUAUGAGCAACGUCUGACGUCAUCAUACAAGAUGUCUUCUUCCAAUACUUCCUGUUGGAAUCGAGCACCAGAGGGCGCUGUGAUAGAUCUGUCCAUGACGAGUGGAGUAUUACAAUCACGAAUGCAAAGACCACGCAGCAACAAAAAUUCACAGACACCAAAUAAAAGAUUUGACUUUGCUCAUCUUGCCCAGUCUAUUUUAGAAGAUACAGACACGAUGACGUCAGAGAAGCACAAGUCACAUGAUGCUAAAAUAAUUAGUCACUUGUUAACA